CCAAAGCUGGGAUGUGCAGUGGAAUGGGCUGUCCCAAAGCAGGGAUGUGCAGUGGGAUGGGCUGUCCCAAAGCUGGGAUGUGCAGUAGGAUGAGCUGUCCCAAAGCUGGGAUGUGCAGUGGGAUGGGCUGUCCCAAAGCUGGGAUGUGCAGUAGGAUGAGCUGUCCCAAAGCUGGGAUGUGCAGUGGGAUGGGCUGUCCCAAAGCGGGCAGAGCUGUCCCAAAGCAGGGAUGUGCAGUGGGAUGAGCUGUCCCAAAGCUGGGAUGUGCAGUAGGAUGAGCUGUCCCAAAGCUGGGAUGUGCAGUGGGAUGGGCUGUCCCAAAGCGGGGAGGUGCAGCGGGAUGGGCUGUCCCAAAUCAGGGAUGUGCAGCGGGAUGAGCUGUCCCAAAGCGGGCAGAGCUGUCCCAAAGCUGAGAUGUGCAGUGGGAUGGGCUGUCCCAAAGCAGGGAUGUGCAGUGGGAUGGGCUGUCCCAAAGCGGGCAGAGCUGUCCCAAAGCUGGGAUGUGCAGUGGGAUGGGCUGUCCCAAAGCGGGCAGAGCUGUCCCAAAGCUGGGAUGUGCAGUAGGAUGAGCUGUCCCAAAGCGGGCAGAGCUGUCCCAAAGCUGAGAUGUGCAGUGGGAUGGGCUGUCCCAAAGCAGGGAUGUGCAGUGGGAUGGGCUGUCCCAAAGCGGGCAGAGCUGUCCCAAAGCAGGAAUGUGCAGUGGGAUGAGCUGUCCCAAAGCGGGCAGAGCUGUCCCAAAGCUGGGAUGUGCAGUGGGAUGAACUGUCCCAAAGCAGGGAUGUGCAGUGGGAUGGGCUGUCCCAAAGCGGGCAGAGCUGUCCCAAAGCUGGGAUGUGCAGUGGGAUGGGCUGUCCCAAAGCGGGCAGAGCUGUCCCAAAGCAGGAAUGUGCAGUGGGAUGAGCUGUCCCAAAGCGGGCAGAGCUGUCCCAAAGCUGGGAUGUGCAGUAGGAUGGACUGUCCCAAAGCGGGGAGGUGCAGCGGGAUGAACUGUCCCAAAGCUGGCAUGUGCAGUGGGAUGGGCUGUCCCAAAGCGGGCAGAGCUGUCCCAAAGCUGGGAUGUGCAGUAGGAUGAGCUGUCCCAAAGCUGGGAUGUGCAGUAGGAUGAGCUGUCCCAAAGCUGGGAUGUGCAGUGGGAUGGGCUGUCCCAAAGCGGGGAGGUGCAGUGGGAUGGGCUGUCCCAAAGCUGGGAUGUGCAGUAGGAUGAGCUGUCCCAAAGCUGGGAUGUGCAGUGGGAUGAGCUGUCCCAAAGCCGAAGGCACGCACAGCUCACGGUUUCACUGCUCCGCUCUGCGGUUACCGGGAUCCACAGCUGCUGCCCCAGCCGGACCAGAAUGGCUGCAGUGAUACAAGUUCCUAACGGGGACGCUAUUUCAGAAGAUUUGGAAAACAAAAAUAAGGCUCUUUGCAUGGCCAGAACAGCUGCCCUGGCGUGCUGCUCCCUCGGCAUCCUCGCGGGAAAUUCAAGGGUUUUCCAAAAACCUGGAAAAGGUGCCUCAGUGGAUAAGGACACUGAACUGCUCCAUGCACUGGUGGGAAGGAGCGGGGGCUGGCUCAGCUCCUCUCCAGUCCUGGCUCAAUCUGCUCGGUCCUACCGUGGAUGACUCACUGGGCUCACAAGACCAAACUGCUCCUGGCUGCUCUGUUUCCUCUCAAAGGAAGUUACAUUUUUAUUCAUGGUAGUUCUUCCUAAUUGCCCUUUAGGAGCAAGUUCAUGGUGCAUCCAAAGAAACCACCUUGAAAAUGCAUUAAAUAUAGGUUGUACCAGUUUAAUUAGGAUAAGUUUAAAUGUCUCCUGAAAUUAAACCAGUGCAUAUUUCUUCAAGAAAGUAGCCAGUGAAAAUACUGAAGGUCCAAAGGCGUGGUAGGGUGUAUGAGAGGAGAUGGUGCAGUGCAUGAAUGGGAAAGUACAGCAGUAUUUAUGAAAAGCAGAAUUAAAUGUGCACAAGAGAUCUAUACAUCAAAAACUUGCUUAGAAAAUGAGCAUUGCUUUAGUGGAUGGAGUGCUACAGCUAAAUAAAAUUUGGAUUUUUAACAAA